UACGUAGGCAGCGAGCGUUGUUCGGAGUUACUGGGCGUAAAGGGUGUGUAGGCGGUUGUUUAAGUUUGGUGUGAAAUCUCCCGGCUCAACUGGGAGGGUGCGCCGAAUACUGAAUGACUUCGAGUGCGGGAGAGGAGAGUGGAAUUCCUGGUGUAGCGGUGAAAUGCGUAGAUAUCAGGAGGAACGCCGGUGGUGUAGACGGCUCUCUGGACCGUAACUGACGCUGAGACACGAAAGCGUGGGUAGCAAACAGG
rnacentral:rRNA from 1 species